rnacentral:lncRNA from 1 species
GGCAGAAGCCGGGCUCUGCAGGGCUGUGGAAGCUGGAGGAGUAGGUUGUCCCAGAGUCCCGUACCCCUGGGGAUCCAGGAAGCAUUUCAGAGCUUCCUGUGUGCAGCAUGGAUCUAAAGCUGGUGGAUGCAGGGGGGUGAACAAGACAACAUCUUCACUUCCUGCAUGCUGAUGGCAGAAGUGAGACAUCAGCGAAGAAACAUCACGAUCACCAAAUUACGAUGAACACCAUGGAGGAAACAAAGGACACUGUGACACCAAGGAAGGAAGGGAGGUUACUUUUCAUAGUGGCUGUAAAUAGAACUGAAGGCUGAAAAACAGCUGUUAAAAUGGCUUGUUUGUUUGAAGAUGAAUGAGAGUACACAAUAAAAGGAAAAAAAUUUGGACACAGACACACACAGAGGGAUGACCACGUGGAGAUGCAGGGAGAGGAUAGCAGCUACAGGCCAGGGCGAGAGGCCUCAGAGGAAACCAGUCCUGCUGACUCUUUGAACUCGGACUUCCAGCCUCCAGAACUGAACCACUGUCUUCCUUUAUCCCAGGAUGUCUGCAAGGAAGAAAAUGUCCUUUUUCUAGCAUUUAGAGGCCACCAACAUUGAAUAACCACACUGGGGUAGACACAGCGGCGAAGAGAUUCCUGCUGUUCCCAUCACAGCAGCCUUGGAGAUGAGAAGACAGAUGGAUCUGACCAGAAGUCUGGAGAACUUCGAGAAAAAAGGAGGAGGACACAAAAGGAAAUAACAAAAAAGAUGCAUCCGGAGCAACUAUGAGGAUGGUAAAUUGGUGUCUAAUUCUGAAAAUCAUAAUUGGUAUAAAUGCUAUGUACUGUGGAAGGAGGGAUGAAGGGUAGAGGGAAUAAAAAAGAACAUGAAGUUAGAAUCCUUGGCAUGAAAGCCUGCCAUUUAUACAAGCAAACAAACAAGAUCAGGGACUAUCAACUGGCUGGCUGAAUUGGACCAAUAGGCAGGUUUAUUCAGCCCCACACUUCAAAAAUUAGGAGAUCUCCAAAUUAAAAUCUGGGAAUCUGACCUUUUGUAACAAAUCAGAGGAUUUGCAACACCAAGAGCAUCAUCACAGGCAACGACCAGCUUGGAUGGGCAGCGGCUGCCCCUGCAGGUGGGUCAGGUGCUCUUCCGUUGGACACAGUCUCCACCACUCCCUGUCGCUUGCUCCUUGCUCCCCAUCAGCAUAACUGUUUGGGCCUUAUAGCAUAUGCAUUUAUCACUCCCUACUAGGACGUCCACAACAUGAAAUGAGAGAACGAUUUGGUAAGUUCAACAAAAGGCAUAUUAUGCAGCCACCAUACAUUCUUUGUGGAAAGAGAAGUGGCAUAAAUCAAUUCAUAAAUUAUCUCAAGUUGUUUCCUCUGGAGUCCUGGGCUGGCUGUUGGAUGAAUUCAUCUGUCUUCUAGCAGAUGGACAAGAAAAUUGAAUUGUAGUGGCCCAUCAGGUGUCGAUCGCAGCCUCUGGGUCCGUGUAGGUGAGCCCUCACCACAGAGAGAAUGAGAGCUGGCUCUAGGACGGGGUGUUGAUCUGUGCACAGCUGCCCGGGAAAGGGCCUAGAGAGAGGAGCUAUGGGUCCUGCACUGACAUCAGCCUUGAACAUGAGGCUGGCGUGGCAGCGGCGGCGGGGUGGGGGGGGACAUGAAUAAUUCAUAUCGCAACCAGAUUGAUGCUCAGUGAGCUUCAAUAGGAAUGAAUUACCUUGUGUGCAUUUCCUGCCUAAAUGUCAGUGUAUCUUUUCACAAGCGCCUGGGACGGGUUUAUGAAUAGGUGCAUUCUCUGAUGCCUCUGCUUUAGGCAAGGCAGUUUCAGAAUCUUGGCUGAGUUUCCAACUUCUGACUUGCUAUUUACAAACUGUAAUCAUAAGAUUUCAAGUGACACAUGACUGAAAAAAAAAAGCCCUUACUCAGGAGAAAUCUGGAUGGAAAUGGAACAAUGGUUUUGAAUGUAUCUGGAUCAUGAAAUGAAAGUCAGGAGGCUUGAGUGUUCUGCUGAGAAAAAGUGAUGGGGGAAGAACAUAAACAUGUAUAGGACACUUACUGUCUUGGGAACUUUAUGGGUGUUCUCAUUGUUAACAUCAUUUAACAGAUGAGAAAAACAGUUCUCAGACAUUGCUGCUAACAGAAAUUCAAUGCAAGCCACAUUUGUAAUUUAAGAUUUCCUAGUAACCACAUUAAAAAAGAGAAAAAUAAAAAAGAGACUGA